UGUUCUGUGACUUAGUUGGUUAAAGUGCCGGACAAGCGACACGGAAUCGUAGGUUCGAAUCCCACCAAAACAA
rnacentral:tRNA from 1 species